rnacentral:rRNA from 1 species
GACGAACGCUGGCGGCGUGCUUAACACAUGCAAGUCGAACGCUGAAGCUCAGCUUUUGUUGGGUGGAUGAGUGGCGAACGGGUGAGUAACACGUGAGUAACCUGCCCCCUUCUUUGGGAUAACGCCCGGAAACGGGUGCUAAUACUGGAUAUUCACUGGUCUUCGCAUGGGGGUUGGUGGAAAGGGUUUUUCUGGUGGGGGAUGGGCUCGCGGCCUAUCAGCUUGUUGGUGGGGUGAUGGCCUACCAAGGCUUUGACGGGUAGCCGGCCUGAGAGGGUGACCGGUCACAGUGGGACUGAGAUACGGCCCAGACUCCUACGGGAGGCAGCAGUGGGGAAUAUUGGACAAUGGGCGCAAGCCUGAUGCAGCGACGCCGCGUGAGGGAUGGAGGCCUUCGGGUUGUGAACCUCUUUCGCUCAUGGUCAAGCCGCAACAAUGGUUGUGGUGAGGGUAGUGGGUAAAGAAGCGCCGGCUAACUACGUG